rnacentral:rRNA from 1 species
UGGGGAAUAUUGGACAAUGGGCGAAAGCCUGAUCCAGCCAUGCCGCGUGUGUGAAGAAGGUCUUCGGAUUGUAAAGCACUUUAAGUUGGGAGGAAGGGCAUUAACCUAAUACGUUAGUGUUUUGACGUUACCGACAGAAUAAGCACCGGCUAACUCUGUGCCAGCAGCCGCGGUAAUACAGAGGGUGCAAGCGUUAAUCGGAAUUACUGGGCGUAAAGCGCGCGUAGGUGGUUUGUUAAGUUGGAUGUGAAAGCCCCGGGCUCAACCUGGGAACUGCAUCCAAAACUGGCAAGCUAGAGUACGGUAGAGGGUGGUGGAAUUUCCUGUGUAGCGGUGUAAUGCGUAGAUAUAGGAAGGAACACCAGUGGCGAAGGCGACCACCUGGACUGAUACUGACACUGAGGUGCGAAAGCGUGGGGAGCAAACA